UCCUGCAGCCAUACUGCUUUCGGAUGUGAUCUCACAAGAUCUCAUCACAAGCAAAGCAGGGUUGGGCCAGGUCAGUACUUAUACAGGAAUUUACCAAGGAAAGCCUAGAUACUGAAAGAA
ensembl:rRNA 5S_rRNA 5S ribosomal RNA